rnacentral:lncRNA from 1 species
GUGGGCUUGGAAAGUGGUUUGAGAGUAUCUGAUAGAAAGCUGUAUAAGAUUUCCUGAAAGAAGUGGUAAAAAAUACAUUUCCUGAAAUGAGAUCCCCACAGCAGCCUCCAUAUACUUUCAAAGGGCAAUAUAUGGAGCAGCCCUGUAUGCAGCCUGGUGUAAUAGGAGUCGCAUGCAUAUUGUCAUGAAGGCGUUUUGGAGUGGGAUGAGGCUGGAGAUUCUACCACUAUGAAGAACUUGCAGUCCUCCUCCCUGCGGAGAUGAAGGGAUGCUAGGAAUACAAAGGCUACUUCACCAGAGG